rnacentral:lncRNA from 1 species
AUGGAGCAAUGUUACGUAGCAGUCUCAGAAUGUAAAGGAAUGAUGCUCAUAAGUCUUGGUGCAAGUUGUGCUCGUCGGUUGUAAUAUAUAUAGUGAAGAUAAUGAAAUUAAAGAGAUUUUGAAUGAACUUUUUUCGGAAGGUGAAUAUGUCAAUGACUCAACUCUUUACCAAAGUAAAUCGUUUAAUAAUGAGUGUUUUUUUAGUUAGGGCUAGUACAGAUAUGAUAGAGAAAGUGUUUGUGUGAGAGGGAUGAAGGAGAAAGGGUUGAGAGGAAUGAAUGAGGUGAGUAAGGGUUUGAGGUUUAUUUUUUUAGUUUUGAGAAUGAAAAUUAUUAAAAUAAGGCAAGUGUUUCUGAUUUUUUUUCAAUUGGGGCUAGAGUAGGGAUAAAAGAGAAAAGGUUGGAGUAAAAAAGAUGAAAGAGAAAGGGUUGAGAGGAAUGAGAGAUGUGAGUAAGGGUUUGAGAGUUUCUUUUUUUUUAUUUUUUUAAUUUUGAGAAUGAAAAUUAUUAAAAUACCCUUAACCUUAAACUUAGAAUUCAUGAUAUAUAAGGAUAUUUUUAUCUACUGAAACUCGGUACACAUUGUUAAAAUGUACCAACU